ACGAACGCUGGCGGCGUGCUUAACCCCUGCAAGUCGAACGGAAAGGCCCUGCUUUUGUGGGGUGCUCGAGUGGCGAACGGGUGAGUAACACGUGAGUAACCUGCCCUUGACUUUGGGAUAACUUCAGGAAACUGGGGCUAAUACCGGAUAGGAGCUCCUGCUGCAUGGUGGGGGUUGGAAAGUUUCGGCGGUUGGGGAUGGACUCGCGGCUUAUCAGCUUGUUGGUGGGGUAGUGGCUUACCAAGGCUUUGACGGGUAGCCGGCCUGAGAGGGUGACCGGCCACAUUGGGACUGAGAUACGGCCCAGACGCCUACGGGAGGCAGCAGUGGGGAAUAUUGCACAAUGGGCGGAAGCCUGAUGCAGCAACGCCGCGUGCGGGAUGACGGCCUUCGGGUUGUAAACCGCUUUCGCCUGUGACGAAGCGUGAGUGACGGUAAUGGGUAAAGAAGCACCGGCUAACUACGUG
rnacentral:rRNA from 1 species